UACGAAGGGGGCUAGCGUUGUUCGGAAUUACUGGGCGUAAAGCGCACGUAGGCGGACAUUUAAGUCAGGGGUGAAAUCCCGGGGCUCAACCCCGGAACGGCCUUUGAUACUGGGUGUCUUGAGUUCGGAAGAGGUGAGUGGAAUUGCGAGUGUAGAGGUGAAAUUCGUAGAUAUUCGCAGGAACACCAGUGGCGAAGGCGGCUCACUGGCCCGGUACUGACGCUGAGGUGCGAAAGCGUGGGGGAGCAAACAGG
rnacentral:rRNA from 1 species